UUUGGGGCCCGCAGCCGCGGUAAUUCCAGUUCCAAAAGGGUUUUUUAAAGUUGUUGCAGUUAAAAAGCUGGUAGUUGAAUUUCGGGGUUUGUCCGUUGGUCGGGGCAAGGUCUGUACUGGCGUGACGGAUUCUUACCUUGUGAAGACCGGCAUGCCA
rnacentral:rRNA from 1 species